rnacentral:lncRNA from 1 species
UGGCUGCAGCUCUGAUUGGACCCCUAGCCUGGGAACUUCCAUAUGCUACCACACUGAGUGGGAUAAUUCAGAGGCAUUUAUUUUGCAUCAUCACCCAGGGUCUUCAAGUGGAGUUAAAUUCCAGUUUCCCUCUAUGACUUCAUUGGCUUCCUUCCUUUCCCUGUGUUACUUCCCCAAUCCCCUCUCCAUUGCUAUGUACCACUUAAAUGACUCACACUGAAUCCUUGCUUUGCUUUGGGCUGGCUUCUGGGAGAAUAUAAACUAAGACAUGGGCUUUAUAAAUUUCUUACCACACAUAUAUUAGACUACUAUAUAUCAGUCUCCAUGUGUGUACACACCUGAGCACAUAGUUUCUCCAUCUCCAAAGUUCACGAGGAGGAGUGAUGCCACAAGGCUGUUCUCCCAUCCCAGCCUUCCAAUUGUCCAUGCAGAGGUCACAAGAGCUGGAUCAGACUGGAGGGUCUGGGGAGCUGCACUCAGAAAACAAUCAAGGGUCUAUUUGGCUGUUUGCAGGAGACACGAUCUUAACUCUUUGUCACCCCACCCUGAAAAAUACCAGUUAAUCAGUCCCAGAAAGGUGUUAGGAUUAUUCUAGGUUCCUAAACUGAGUCUUUAGCAUCUUGUGCCCUUGUGUAAUCUGUUUGAGCAGGACUGCCCCUGCAACCUCCAGGAGAACUUUCUUCUGGUUUCCAGACAUUCCUGCCUCUCCCUAUGCCCAAAAAUGCAGGGUUCAGGUGGGGGUGGGGAGGGGGCUUAUUUUUGGUGGCUGAAAGGUUGACUAAGUUAUGCCUUGCCUUAAAUAUGUUGUUUCUCCCAAGGGAGCUCACAGACUUGGGAAAAAUCGAGGGAAAGUGAGGGAGCUGCAUCUUUGCAUGGAAAUUCUUAUCAAAAUACUUCAUUUCUACUGAGCUUUUCAUAUAUAAGGCUCCCCACUUCUUGAGUCUACUCCCUUCUGCCAUUCAUAGCGAUUCUACUCAUGGCGGUCCUCUCUGUCAACACAGUGAGUACUUAAACCUCUUGGUACGAAGUCAGGAAGCACAUGCACUGACCCAUCACAAUGGAAGCCACCUCAGCCUGUAGCAAAGUCAGUUUCUUCUGCACAGGGGGUAAGGUGUGGCAUUCAGGUAGAAGAGUCUGGGAUACCUCACGGCACUUGGGCUGGGAUUUCAAUGUGUCAGUGGAUUCUCCCUGCUUCCCCUGUCCCUCACACACCUGUCCACAGAGAUGCUGCAGGUCACCUGGGGAAUGUAGAAUUCAUUUUUUUUUUUUUUAGGAGGAGAAGCUGGUGGUCUCCUAGAUGGUGUGUCAGGCUUCUCUUGCAAGCUCCUUCUCUCUGUGUGUAUAACUGCUGGCAUGGGGUUCGGUGACACAGCAAUGACUGAGCCGAUGAGACGGAGUGGAGGAGAAUCAAGUGACCUUCACGAGGGAAACUCAAUUGUCCCCUUAACAAUGGUGUCCAGUCCUUUACAAGCCAUCAUCACUUACAAAUGAUUUGGUGCCAGUGUAUUAAGUGAUAUCUGAUGACACCAGGUAUAUCAAUCAAUUCCUUGCUUUUCUGUUUUCUUCCUUUCACAGGUACUGGGACGUGCCCCUCCACCUUCCAUACUUGGCAUCUGGGGACUUCUAAUAGGAAAUGGCACUUCAGGUGGCAGUGUGGAAAGGAAGGGGACACAGUGAAGGAACAUGGAGGAUGCUGGGUGUCAUAAGAUCCCAUAAGCUUAGAGUCCUUCAAGACCUCUGAUUUCCCCACCUGGAUAAUCAGGAUCCUGUGACUUUGGUUUUUGUAGGUUUGGGGGGAGCUUUUUAAAUUCCUCUCAGGGAGUUUCCACUGUGGCUCACUGGGUUAAGAAUCUGACUAGUAUCCAUGAGGAUGUGGGUUCGAUCCCUGGCCUUACUCAGUGGGUUAAGGAUCCGGUGUUGCCGUGAGCUGUGGUAUAGGUCACAGACGUAGCUCAGAUCCUGUGUUGCUGUGGCUGUAUGUAGGCUGGCAGCUGCAGCUCCGAUUGGACCCCAAGCCUGGGAACUUCCAUGUGCCACAGGUGCAGCCCUAAAAAAC